rnacentral:rRNA from 1 species
GACGAACGCUGGCGGCGUGCUUAACACAUGCGAGUCGAACGGAAAGGCCCUGCUUUUGUGGGGUGCUCGAGUGGCGAACGGGUGAGCAACACGUGAGUAACCUGCCCUUGACUUUGGGAUAACUUCAGGAAACUGGGGCUAAUACCGGAUAGGAGCUCCUGCUGCAUGGUGGGGGUUGGAAAGUUUCGGCGGUUGGGGAUGGACUCGCGGCUUAUCAGCUUGUUGGUGGGGUAGUGGCUUACCAAGGCUUUGACGGGUAGCCGGCCUGAGAGGGUGACCGGCCACAUUGGGACUGAGAUACGGCCCAGACUCCUACGGGAGGCAGCAGUGGGGAAUAUUGCACAAUGGGCGGAAGCCUGAUGCAGCAACGCCGCGUGCGGGAUGACGGCCUUCGGGUUGUAAACCGCUUUCGCCUGUGACGAAGCGUGAGUGACGGUAAUGGGUAAAGAAGCACCGGCUAACUACGUG